rnacentral:lncRNA from 1 species
AUGACUCAGCCCAGCUACGCGUUGACUAGAGUUGACGCGGGCCGCGUAAGGCCUUGCCUUAUUUUACGCGGGUCGCGAGAAAACCCAGAUUCCGCUUGAAUUUCGGUUUGUGCAGCGUGAGGAGUAGCAUCAACUUCAACUUCAUUUUCAUCAACAUUUGAAGACAACUGAGAAAUUUUCAAAUCAAAGGAUGAAUAGAUGCAGGGUCAUUGUUACUGAUUUUUUCUGGAUUGGAGGACUGGACUACAGCUGUGUUAUCUUCAUUGCGUUUUGCAUCAUCAUCAUCAUUGCGUUUUAUAAUCAAUGGAGAUGAAAUGAUUUGAUUUUCAUUGUCUUCAUUUUGGCUCAAAUUUAGAAAUCUUGAUGGUGUUUCCAUCAUAGUUGAAUCAAUAUUAACUUUCUUGUGCUUUUUUGCUUGAUGGUUUAAUUUUUCCAUCAAUGACACCCAUUCGUUUACUUUGUUAUGAAGAGCUUCACUGUUUGGAUAUUCUUCGACAAUCUCAUCUAUGCGUGAUUGGAUGUUUUCGAAAAUUUCUUCAAAUCCUUUUAAAUGAUCAUCCAAAACAGUCACAAGAUAUUCUUCAUGUGAUUUUUUAUCUUCAAUGUUCUUCAUAUUUUCAUCGCCACUUUUUGUUGAAUGAAUGUCAGAAAGACCUUCACUUUGAUUUUGUGAUAGCAUGAAAUUACGCAUUCGGCUUUGACUGUCUACCCACAUUUUAUCUUUAUUUCCUAUUGAUGGUUUAAUGAAGAAUUGCCCCCAUGAUCCUCCACUUUCUGUUUGUGUUUUCUCAGUUUCAUUGGUUUUAAUUGGGCUGUUUUGAACAUUUUCUUGAUUCUCUUGAUCAAUCCAGUCUGUUGCAGCUUUAAGUAAUGUGAUUGGUUGUUUUUCAGCAUCGUCUUCAUCAUUUUCUUCAGAUUCAUUUUCAAAAAUUUCUUCGUUUUCAUUCUCGGAUUCAGUUGGAUAAACAUAAAAUUCAUCCUUUUCAUCUUGCUUUUUUUGUUUAUUCUUUCUGAUUUUUUUCUUUUUAUCCAUUACAAGACAUCUCCCCUCAUUUUGCGCAGCAAUUUCCAAUUCAUCUUCAAAUUCUUGUAAUGUUGUAGAGUCAAUUUUAUCAAGAGAGAACUCUUCAGUGUUUUCAGCAUCGUCAAAUCCUUGUUUUUUGUAAGCAUAUAGUAUCUGUAUGAAUCAUUGGGUUUUAGAAAUAUAAUCAAUUCAAAUUUUGUUGCGUUUUAAAAUAUAAAUCAUUGUAAACAACUUACAAAACUAAUGUUUUGUAACUUUAAAUAUAUUGCGUUUUACAAAUACAUUGCGUUUUACACUAGAAAAGAAGUUUUAACAAACAAAGAAUAUAAAGAAACAAAAAUGAAAGAUCAUUGUGUUUUAUAAUAUACAUUGCGUUUUAUAAAGUAUAGUUUUAAACAAACAAAGAAUAUAAACAAGCAGUCUAAACAAGCAUUCAGCAAAUAUGUAGCAAUAGUGAAAGAUCAGAUUUCAUACCGCUAACAAUGCAAUAGGUCCAUUGAAGAGCUUCUCAUUUCCAGGCCAUUGUCUUCUUGUACGCCUUAAAACGGUCAGAAUAUAUUCACACCAAUUAAAAUCCUGGGUUUUUUGUCACUUUUCAUUGAUGGCAAGAAUCUUUGAUUAACAUUACUACUUUGCAUUGCCUCCGCCAUGAUUGUAAAAAAUAUAACCAAGAAAUUUAGUUUGAACAAUCUUCCAAGCUCAUUUCUUGAUUUUAAAUAACUAAUCAAGUUGUGCGCAUACAUUCUCUUCAAGAUAUCUUUGCUGAAUUGACCGCGCCAGAAUUUAAUUAUAAGAUCAGUGUCUUUUGGUCUCAAUUUUUCCUCAAUCUCUGUUUUUCCAUUUGGUAUUUGAAGUACCUUUUGGAUAAAUUCAGCUGUGAUCUUAAUCUUUUCAUCUCCGGUAUUUAUCUCAUCAUUUUCAGCAUCAAAGUUUUUUACCAGCCAAUAUCCGAAUUUGCGUGGAACUGAAUGCAGAUUGAAUUUUAGUAUGCUCUCAAACCCUAUUUCUUUAACAGCAUUCCUUUGCUCUUUUGACAAACUUUCAAUAUAAUCUUUUAGAUUAUUGACUGCACAUCUUAUGUUGAUUUUUUUUUCCGUCAUAAUCGUAAUAUGGUUGUUGUUCUGGUUGUUCUUUUGUUUUAUCUUUUGUCACACCCCGAUUUCCACGUGUCUCACCGGUGGGCCCGGUGGGGGAUUACCGUGACAUAGUUGGCAACAAUAUAGUCAAACCACACAAUUAUAUGAAUGCACAGCGGAAGCAAUAAGAUAAUUUAUUUCAACAUUUAAGUGUAUAUCAAUGUAUCACCAUUGUUGAAAUAACAAUCCACAGGGGGAUCAAAAUAAUAAAAAGUACUGUUCAACAGACAAGGCAUCAAAAGCUUGCGAGACUCUUCAAGAUGCUAAGGAGCUAUAGCCAGCCGAUUACGUUUAGUACCUGCAUUUAAUCUUUUUGGGAAAAUACGUCAGUUUACACUGGGUUUUCAGAGACAGAUUUCUUUUGAGUAACUCGAAUGUAAACCUUCAAAUUAUCCCUCGACGACGCCAUGAACUUCAAUGGAGUAUGAUUUUCUCAAAUUUCUGUAUGUGUUUGAUCGUUCAAUGGAAGUGUAAAACGUAAUGCACUAUUUUUCGAAGGAUUUCUGUGUAUAUUCAACGGCGGUUAUUUGGGAAUUUGACGAUAAUACCCCUGAAACCCCGGAGAGCGUGUUUAAAUGACAGUUUUUAAUUUGAUU